rnacentral:rRNA from 1 species
ACCAGACUCCUACGGGAGGCAGCAGUGGGGGAUAUUGCACAAUGGGGGGAACCCUGAUGCAGCGACGCCGCGUGGGUGAAGGAGUAUUUCGGUAUGUAAAGCCCUAUCGGCAGGGAAGAAGAAAGACGGUACCUGACUAAGAAGCCCCGGCUAACUACGUGCCAGCAGCCGCGGUAAUACGUAGGGGGCGAGCGUUAUCCGGAUUCACUGGGUGUAAAGGGAGCGUAGACGGCCAAGCAAGCCAGGGGUGAAAGCCCGGGGCCCAACCCCGGGACUGCCCUUGGAACUGCAUGGCUGGAGUGCGGGAGGGGCAGGCGGAAUUCCUGGUGUAGCGGUGAAAUGCGUAGAUAUCAGGAGGAACACCGGCGGCGAAGGCGGCCUGCUGGACCGUGACUGACGUUGAGGCUCGAGAGCGUGGGGAGCAAACAGGAUUAGAUACCCCGGUA